GUUUGGGAAGGGGGCGGGGAGCUGCGCGAUGAGGUAAUUGGAACGGUGACCGGUCGGUCCUCGAGCGCCUCCCUGGGUCCCUGCACCUAGUUGGAGGGGACCGAGCGACCGCGGGGCGCUGCUCAGGCAACCUGGGGGACUCCCCCAAGGGUGUCAGGCUUCAGCUGGCAGCCAAUGAAACACCCCAGGGGGGAGGGGAGGUCGGCCGCUUCUAAUCCCGACGUGCCCUGGGUCCCCGACGCCCCGAGCCGCGUCUAAAAGGGCUCCCUCCGAUGAUCAGCUGCACGUCAUUUAACCCGCAAACCGGCGUCGCUGAGGCGUUCCGGAACCCAGGCCCGGGGGCUGCGGGGAUUGCCUCUGCGUGCAACUCCGCAAAGUUUCCCGGUGCCCCCCGACUGCACAGGCGCCCUCACCUUCGCCGCCUGAGAACGCCCGGCCGUGCCCUCUCUCUCUCCGCAGGUCCGGAAAUCGGCUUCGAUCUGGAGCUACUUACUCCGCUCUAGCCUGGAAAGGAGACCCGCGCACUCCUCUCGCAGCUAAUUUGGGAUCAUUAAUUUAAUCGGAAAUGAGGUAACCGGUGUAGGAGACAGAGAAAGCCACCGGAGCAUCAAAUGGCAGCUCUCGAGAAUCGAUGAAGAACUUGGGUCCGGACUCGGUGUUUCAGUGCGGUCCGCGACUCCCACCACCCCGCCCGCCCCUCCGCCUGUCCCGCCGCCAGGUGUGACCUCCACGUGAAGGAAUCUUCUUCAGCUGGGCUAACAUUGCCAACAGGUGUGGCACCUGGAGGACUGGGAGGCGCCUCCAGACUACCGGCGCUCAGCGCGGCGUUUUUGUUGCAGAUGAUUCUGGAAGGCCAGUAGGUGUCGGGCAACACUUGACCUCCUUCAGGUGCUUAGAACUAGGUGGCUGGAAACAUGAGCCCUUCGCGUAAGUUUCUUUCUGAAAACCACCGCUCUUGACUGUAAGCUGUAUUUGAGAGACCUUUUGGCUGAGUUUACUUAUGACCUAACGGUUAGUCACCAACUGAGGCAGGGCAGAGAAUGAUCAAAACAUGUGUCAGGUUUUACACAACUCUGGCCUGCAAGAGCCUACGUGCUCUUGAAAUAAAAAUAAACAUACGAGUGAGGAAAGUGCAGAGCCCCGGAAAUAUUUUUUCUCACAUUUUUGAAAUGCCGUGCACAUGUAAGUGGCUAUUUAAAUGUAACUACUACUGUUCACUCUUACUCAUUUCUACAACCCCCCCCCCCCCCCCAUUUAAAAAUCGAUGAUUGUUAAGGUUGAAACCUCGGGUUGGUCUAAAGUGACAUUGUUGGUCUCAUUACAGCCUCUAGCGGACAGUUAACAUCAGUUUCCUGAAAAGGCUCUCAUAGGUUUUGUUUUCGUUCACAAGCUUUGUCAAAGUGAAGGUUAGCACGUCAGAGCAUAACCGGGUAAAAUAUCCCCCACCCCUAUUCUCACCCCCGCCCCCAACCCCCUACUUGGCAAAGUCGACUUCAGAAAGGAGCAGAACCUUGUUGGCUUUGUAUAGCAAAGACGCAUGCUUUGUGUUGCAGGUAUCAUUAUUACUGGACUGUGAAUAAACAGAAAGCUUCUGCUAUUCAUUUCAGUUUCAGACAGCUUUCAUAAAAACUAAAUUCAUCUCAAAUAUUUUUAUAACAGAAAAUAUUGGUUGCCAUGUUUUUGGCUUAACUGCGAUGUUUUUAUUCCAACUCAUAAUCUGCAAACUGUCCAAUCCACCUCCACUCUAUUUUUAGACAUCUUACAUUUAGAUAAUUUUCAGUUAAAAAGCUAAUAUCGUAAUUAUUACGUUGGUGCAACCAGUUAAUCUACAUGAUUUUAACAACCUUAAAACACAUAAUUCAGGUUAGAGUGUCAAUUAAUUUAAAUGUUCUCUCAAGGAAGCUAAAUAUGUAUAUUACUGAAAUGGUAAAAACAAUAAGAAACGUGUCAUUUACUUUCUUAGCCAUUGAGAUUAAAGCCAUAAGCUGCCACCAAAAGUUGCCACUAUUUCUUCCUGCAAGAUCCAGCGUAAACACCAUACUCAUGAAACAGUCUCCUUACCUUUAGUACUGAAAUAUUUUGUUUUCAGAUGGCAAAAUAUUAAAUGUACAAUCACAAGACACUGAUUCUUUAGAAACAAGACUUUCUCAUGCAAAUAAAAACUCAAUGAGAAAGGGCAGAGCUUUCAAGAAGCUAGCAGGCAAACAUAUAUAGUACUGUAGUCCCAGUCAUAAGCUGAUGUUAUGUUUGUGCAAGCGUAAGUCAACUUUUGAAAUUACAGGAAAUAGAUAAAUAAGGCCCGAUGAGCUUGACUCAUAACCUGUGUUGCAGAUUGCUUAAAUACCAUGAAAAAUAAUUGUAAUCACAGAGCUAUUUUACCGUUUUGGUGGUAUCUACUCUUGAAGAUUUUAAAUGGACCAGCAAAUAUAUCAUAUAAUUACAUAUUACACCCUUACUUCUUAAAGUGUAGUCUUUAAACUAGCCGCAGCAGCACUAAGGAGCUUUUUAAACGUUCAGAGUCAAGGGUUCUACCCCAGACAUACUAAAUCAGAAACUUUCUUGAACCAGGCCCCUGGGUGAUUCCUAAACACAUUAUCAGGUGAAGAACAGUGGUCUAUAUCACAGGGAUCAAGCUAAAUAAAUUGGGGCACAGGUGCAGAAGCUAAUUCCUCUCUUUCUUGCCUGCUCCUUUUUAUUAAUUACAGCCUUUUAUUAAUUUGUGCAUUGCAAUGAAGAAUUAUUACAUUAUAUGCUUUGGAUAAAUACUACUGCAUUUUAAGAGCACACAUCUGCAUCAUUAUUGCCGAAAGAGAAUGCUCUGCUGAGGAAUGUACUGGGGUCUUAAACAUGAACAUUUUCUUCAUGGCAGCAGAGGGAGCACAAGAGUGCUUAAUAAAACCAGUGCACAGGUUUCUCCACACCACAACAGAUUUUAAAUUGUAGUAUAUGUUUUCAUUGGAAGUAGCCUGUUACGUAGUUCAAAAUGAAGCAAAACAACGGAACAAACACAAACAGCUUCCCAGGUCAUAACAACUACGUAAUUGAAUAGACUGGAAGUUGAAGAAAAUAAACUUCUUUAGGGUUUUAGGCUUGAAUUGUUAAAAGAAAUUCGAUCUCAAAAGUGAAAAAGAUGCCUCACCUUUGCUCUACUCAAAAACAAAGAUAACACAAUACAGAAUCAGGCAACCCUGGCAGAGUCGGUUCACGGGACCCUACAUCAGUUACUCUGGGAUCCCACAAGCUUCCCAGAAUCCUCUUUGACCACAAUCAAAGCAUAGUGUCUGAAAGUAGCCUGGCCACACAAAAUGUGCAAAACACUAUAACCUCUCCACAGCCUCCCUCCACUUCGCAUUUGAGGGAAAUGAUUCUAGAAGCUGAAAUAGACCAGAGUUCAACAGUCUGGGAAAUUUGAAGAAGAAAAAAGAGAGAAAAAAAAAAACAUCCAAGUCCUGCAUUUGCAGAGAUGUGAAGAGAACCCAGCUUUCUGAAGUUGGAAGGAAGUGAGAAGACCCUAUUUGUGGCUGCAGGAGAGGAAAAGAAAAGGGACCCGUAAGGAAACUACCAACAGAUGACAGGAAUCUGGGCCAAAGAGUUGCAGGAAAUUGGCAAAGAUCAUACAACUAGUUCACAGCAAAUUCAGCACUGGAACCUAAGACAUCACCCUCCUAGUCCUGUGUUUGCUCUCUUCUAUCCCUCAUUGAAGGUGGACACUGCUGAGAUGAGCAAAACCCAAUUCUAGGAGACUUCGAUCAUGGCAGUCCUCAUGCUUGGGUUCUUAUAAAGCAAGAUGAUGGCAUUUCUAUCUGGUCUGUAGAUGUUUGGGAAACUGGUUGAUAUUCUUUACAAGUAAGGUUUCAAGCUAAAAUAGAUUUGUUAAUUUCUGUCCUAAACCCCUGUGGGUUGUCUAGAUUAUAUAGCUACCACACUAUUUGGCACAGCGGGAUCCUCUUUUCAUGAAAUAGCAGGGAAGAUUGGUGGAUAAGGAUUAACAGCAUUGGCAGAGGAGACUGGGAGACUUACACAAUUACUUCCACCCAGUGCCUUCCUGGUCUAAGAACUUCUCCCAGCCUCUUUUGGAGAGAGAGGCAAGUGGGAGGAAAGGAGAUUUUUAUCUUUUUAGUAAAUGAAAAGACAACAAAAACACCUUAGUACUGCUCAAUUGGAUGAAAUCUUGAUUUCACAUGGUUUAAGUUUCUAUAAGACUAAAUAUAUUCUUUGUUCAAAAUUACUUAUAUAUUCAUAGAUAACUUUUCCAGUGGAUACAUAUGGAGUUCAUUAAUAAAAACUCUUCUCAAUCA